rnacentral:lncRNA from 1 species
CACAAAGUCUAAAUCUGUGUUUAUUAUGUAGGCAAUCCUCCCCUACUAUCAAUGGAAACACUGCCUGUGCAACAGCUGCUAGAUGAAUUCUGUAAUUGGAGGCUUAUAGUUUGGUAUUUUGGUUUGCAUUCUUUUUGAAACAUGUAGUUCCAAUUUGAAGCAACUCAAAGCAUCAAAUGCAACUACUCCCUGUAAAAUUUAGAAUCAAUUUUUAUAUUACAUGUCUAAUCAUGAUAACUAUAUAUGAAUGAAAAUGUGGAUGUACAGAGUUAACCUUCAUACUUUUGGAGAUGUACUUUCAAGGGUAUGGACACAAACAUUUCUAGGGGUUAGUAUCUUCCCAAUCUUCAUCUUGUCAAUAAU